CAGCAGCCGCGGGAAUACGAAGGGUGCAAGCGUUAAUCGGAAUUACUGGGCGUAAAGCGCGCGUAGGUGGUUUGGUAAGAUGGAUGUGAAAUCCCCGGGCUCAACCUGGGAACUGCAUCCAUAACUGCCUGACUAGAGUACGGUAGAGGGUGGUGGAAUUUCCUGUGUAGCGGUGAAAUGCGUAGAUAUAGGAAGGAACACCAGUGGCGAAGGCGACCACCUGGACUGAUACUGACACUGAGGUGCGAAAGCGUGGGGAGCAAACAGGAUUAGAUACCCCGGUAGUCCCUGUCUCUUAUAC
rnacentral:rRNA from 1 species